CACCAACAAAACCCAAGUCCUCCAGUCUGCAGUCUUCCAGAGCUUGUCUAAAAUUCUCCAUAUAUGCAAGCGGCCUCGGCUGUCCUCCCUCCUUUUCAUGGCCAAACAACACCUCAUUGAAAUCACCAGCACAUAACCAUGGCAUCCGAUACAUAUUCUUAAGAAUACGCAAUAGUUUCCAGGUCUUUCCUCUAUCCUCUACCUUUGGCUCCCCAUAAAUCCCAGUGAAUCGCCAUUGUCUCCCAUCUUCCUCCUUCACCACUGCAUCAAUAUGAUAUCGGGACAAGCUCUUUACCGUAAGGUCAAUUUCCUUGUUCCAGAAUAAGGCUAAACCUCCACUUAGACCAUUGCAAUCCUUUACCACCAAAUUCGGCAUUUUUAGGAUCCACCUGAAAGGUUCAAUUCUCUUCCAGUCCAUUUUCGUCUAUGAAAGGAAGAGAAUAUCUGGGGACUCAAGCUUCUAGAGAUCCAGAAGCCCUCGAACUACCGAGGUAUUCCCCAAACCUCGACAGUUCCAAGCUAUAAUCUUCAUUUGGCCGGGCGGGACUGCCCCGGUAAUCCCACCUUGACAUUGAAAUCCAUCAUUUCCCCUUCUUCCAUCUCUGACAGAUUAUCUGCAAAAACAGACAAGCCCACCCUCUUCACCUUCUUCAGAGUUGAAGUAUCCAUCUCUAUGUCCUCAGGGAAUUGUCGCUUACGCUCCCUGCUCCCAUCAUGUGAAAAGGCCUUAUCUUCCUUUACCCUCCUCCCAUUCCUCCUUUUGUAAAUUCCUUUCUUCUGUAUGUUGGACUUUGGGGCCUUCGAAGAUACUACCAGUCCGCCCUGUUGAUGGAACUGCUGUUCUUGCAAACACCUUGACUGGAUUAGAUUGAGAGAAGGAACUGUUUCAUUCUUAUUAAACUCCCUGGACUUAUCACCCUGCAACUCAAAUCCCUCUGCAUCUACAUCUCUGCCCCCCUCUCGAACAGGCUUCUCAGCUGGUAGAGGAUGCAAACAAUUAGUAGAGAGUUUAGGUACCAGUCCCUUUGGCCAGCACGUAGACCGCAUCAUCUUCCAUUGGCCAAGAAGAGUAUUUUUAGAUGUUCCGGCCAGGGAGUUUAUUGCCUACUAGCUCGGCGCUGCGACAUGGGCUGACCUCCAUGUGGAACAAGGCCCUAGCUACGGCCCAGCGGAAUUCCGAUCCCACUACAGACCGGCCACGCCACAUCGGGCCGGCGCUUUGUGAUUCGUGCACGCGGAUGGAUCGAAAUCGAACGGCCGCCUACCCUUCUUCCUCCUCCAGUCCAGUCCCGUGCUGCCCAACCUCGCCUCGGGGCCUCGGCCAUGGCGGGCUCCAUCCACAUGGCUGAGCUUCGGGAAGGUGCUGCGAGGUAGGCGUCCCUGGCGUGGAGGGUAGUUUUCUGAUUAGUUUUUGGGGUUGAGUUAGGGUUUAUGGGCUGCGGGGUUAGGGGGGAUGUCCCGGGAGGCUAGGUGGUGGGCGGCUGCGCGGAACGGCGGGGCGGAUGGUGCUCCUAGCUAGUUAGGGGUGGCCGCUUUCCCAGGCUGCGGCAAGGUGGCGGAGGAGGCUGGGGGCGUCUGGUGGUCCUCGCCUCCCGCGCCUCCGCCGCCGCCCCUCGCAUCUGCAAGCAUCCGUUCGCCGGCCCCGUGGCUGCCUGUCGUUAUCUCUGCCGAGGACGCAGCUUCCACUUGCUUUCGGUUCUAUUUCUAGAACCGCCGCCGCUGGCCCUGUCCGUCCUCCAAUUGGUCGUCUUCAGUCAAGCGCCGCCGACCCCGCCAUGGAGUUGGAGCUCAUAGAGGGUCCAGGAUGACUGAGCAAAACACUCCCAUUAGGCGGUUGAGUCCGGUGUGCCCUUUGGAGAAUCUGAGGCAUGUAAAGCAGGUCCGUCAACAUGCUGUGUGCGCAGGUACAUGCUUAUUCAUUUUAUUCUCGUUUUCCAGUGUCUCCUGAGCACAAUUGUCAUGCAAAAAGUGCAUAGCUUUCUCAACACACAUGUUCAUAAGGGUCAUGCCGUAGCUCUAGAAAUAUUCCUUUUCUUGCACUAUUUUUCAGUUGAACAACCUUGUAAUUGAUCAAAAGUUAUUUUUGCUCAAUCAUCAGUUGGCUUUUCUUUUUGGAACAUUGGGAUGCAGGGUUCCUUUUCUUGCUCUAUUUGUAAAAUUCUUACCUGAGGCAAUAAUUAUUUAAUCCUUCUAUACAAAGUUACCCUUUGCACU